rnacentral:sRNA from 1 species
GCUCUUUAGCGUUUUAUGGAUUUACCACCUGAUUGGUCAAAUCUAGUUGGGCGUUGCGCAAACUCUAAUUUAUUGAUUACA